CUCCCUUUUUUUUCUCAGCCGUGUAAUGGCUGCUCCCAAGACACAGGGGGCUGCUACCCAAGGAGAGGAGGACGGUGAUGGCAACCGUGGCGGAACUGGGGGUGUCAGUUAUGAGAACAGUAAGGAUUGUAUCCUGGAGCCGCUUUCCCUGCCAGAAAGUCCAGGUGGCACCACCAGUUUAGAAGGUUCUCCAUCUGUGCCUUGUAUUUUCUGUGAAGAACAUUUUCUUAUAGAUGAACAAGACAAACUUCUGAAGCACAUGAUCAUUGAACAUAAGACUGUCAUAGCUGAUGUUAAGUUGGUUGCUGAUUUCCAAAGGUACAUUUCAUAUUGGAGGAAAAGGUUCACUGAACAGCCCAUUACAGAUUUUUGUAGUGUGAUAAGAAUCAAUUCCACAGCUCCAUUUGAAGAACAAGACAAUUAUUUUUUACUGUGUGAUGUUUUACCAGAAGAUAGAAUACUUAGAGAAGAACUUCAGAAGCAGAGACUGAAAGAAAUUCUGGAACAACAGCACCAAGAACGAAAUGAUAACAAUUUUCAAGGCAGUUGUAUGUUUUGCAAUGAGGAAUUCCUCGGAAACAGAUCUGUUCUUUUGAACCACAUGGCCAGAGAACACACUUUCAACAUUGGGUUGCCAGACAACAUUGUAAACUGCAAUGAAUUUCUGUGUACAUUACAGAAAAAGCUUGACAACUUGCAGUGCUUGUACUGUGAGAAGACCUUCAGGGACAAAAAUACACUUAAAGAUCACAUGAGGAAAAAACAGCAUCGUAGGAUCAAUCCUAAGAACAGAGAAUAUGACCGAUUUUAUGUCAUCAAUUAUUUGGAACUUGGAAAAUCCUGGGAAGAAGUUCAACUAGAAGAUGAUCGGGAGUUGCUAGAUCAUCAGGAAGAUGACUGGUCUGAUUGGGAAGGACACCCUCUCUCUGCUGUCUGCCUGUUUUGUGAAAAGCAAGCAGAAACAAUUGAGAAAUUAUGUGUCCACAUGGAGGAUGCACAUGAAUUUGAUCUCCUCAAAAUAAAGUCAGAACUUGGACUGAAUUUCUAUCAGCAAGUGAAACUAGUCAAUUUCAUUCGGAGGCAGAUUCACCAAUGUAGAUGUUAUGGCUGCCAUGAGAAGUUCAAGUCCAAAGCAGACUUAAGGACUCACAUGGAAGAAGCUAAACAUACUUCACUGCUUCCUGAAAGACAGACAUGGGAUCAACCACAGUAUUAUUUUCCAACCUAUGAAAAUGACACUCUACUGUGUACCCUGUCUGACAGUGAAAGUGACCUGACAGCUCAGGAACAAAAUGGAAAUAUCGCCAUCAUUAGUGAAGAUACAUCUAAACUGCAUGCUUUGAAACAAAGCAGUAUUUUGAACCAGUUGCGACUACAUGAGUCCUUGAAAAACUAGAAGAAACUGCCACAGAAGCAAUGUUUCAUGUUUUCUCCUGUGAGACAGACGCAAAAUACUUUAAAUUUGAACAUCAGCAAAGGAUUAGUCUUUGAAACUGCCACGGCUACCCCAGCCUUCAGCAGCCAACCCUGACCAGGCAGCACCAUCAACAUCAAGGCAAGACCCUCCACCAGCAGAAAGAUUACGGUUCACUGAAGGCUCAGAUGAUGGUUAGCAUUUUUUAGCAAUAAAGUGUUUUUUAAUUAAGGGAACACAUCCUGUUCUGCUCCUACUUUCUGCAAACUUCAGAGUGGCAGGCUCUGCCGGCGCAGUUGGAGGCCUUCAGUUGUCCAACACUCGCUACGACUGUGUGGGAACUGGGCCAUGAUGAAAAUCAGAAUGACGCUGGUGCGCCCCCCUCACCACCCGCCAAGGAGUCAUGGGAUGAUAAGCAUUUAGGUAAAUAAAUAGGUACCAGCUGCUGGUGUGCACAACUCUGGACUUCAGUGGACAUGAGUUCUGGAUGUCUUACAGAACCUGACACAUCAGGGGCUGGGUCUGUGCUACAGUCUCAACAGGAGG